GUAGAGUCAGCUAACAAAGCUAUCGGGCCCAUACCCCGAAAAUGACGGUUCAACUCCCUCCUUUACUA
rnacentral:tRNA from 1 species